rnacentral:lncRNA from 10 species
GAACCAGGUACCUCAGUUGGAAAUGCAGAAGUCACCUGUCUUCUGUGUCAAUCUUGCUGGAAGCUGCAGACCAGCGCUUUUCCUAUUAGGCCAUCUUGCCAGCAAAGUCCUUGCCCACUUUUUAAUGGGGCUAUUUAUUAUUUGCUUGUUCAGUUCUUUAAGUUCCUUACAGAUUCUGGAUAUAAGAACUUUGUUGGAUGCAUAGUUUGUGAAUAUUUUCUCCCAUUCUGUAGAUUGUUUAUUGACUACGUUGAUGUUUUAUAUUGCUGUGCAGAAGCUCUUUAGUUUAAUUAGGUCCCACUUGUCAAUUUUUGUUUUUGUUGCAUUUGUUUUUGGGGACUUAGUCACAGAUUAUUUCUCAAUGCCAAUGUACAGAAUGGUGUUUUCUAGGUUUUCUUCUAGGAUUCUUAUAGUGUAAAGUCUUACAUUUAAAUAUUUAAUCCAUUUUGAGUUAAUUUUUGUAUAUGAUGAAAGGAAAGGGUCCAGUUCCAAUCUUUGGCAUAUGGCUGGCCAGCUAUCCCAGUACCAUUUAUUGAGUAGGAAGUCCUUUCCCCAUUGCUUGUUUUUGUUGACUUUUUUGGAGAUCACAUAGUUAUAGGUGUGUGGCUUUAUUUCUGAGUUCUCUAUUCUGUUUCAUCAGUCUAUGUGUCUGUUGUUGUACCAGUACCAUGCUGUUUGGGUUACUGUAGCCUUGUAGUAUAGUUUGAAGUUGGGUAAUAUGAUGCCUUCAGCUUUGUUCUUUUUGCUUAGGAUUUUUUUUGGCUAUUUGGGCUGUUUUGGUUUUAGAAUAGUUUUUUUCUAAUUCUGUGAAAAAUUACAUUGGUAAUUGGAUAGAAAUAGCAUUGAAUCUGUAAAUUGCUUUGGGUAGUAUGGCAAGUUUAACAAUAUUGAUUCUUCCAACCCAUGAGCAUAGGAUGUUUUUUCAUUUGUUUGUGUCACCUAUGAUUUCUUUCCACAGAAUUUUCUAGUUUUCUUUGUAGAGAUCUUGCACCUCCUGGGUUAGAUGUACCUGUGAUUACAGGUGUGUGCCACCAUGCCUAAUUUUUGUAUUUUUAGUAGAGAUGAGGUUUCACCAUGUUGCCCAGGCUGGUCUCAAACUCUUGAGCUCAACUGAUUUGCUUACUUCAAUCUCCCAAAGUACUGGGAUUACAGGCUUGAGCCACUGUGUCUGGCUGAGAUCUUUCUAACUUUUUGAGGUAAGCAUUAGUGCUAUAAACUUUUGUCUUAACAUGGUUUUUGCUGCAUCCCAGAGAUUUUGGUAUGUUCUGGUUCUGUUUUCAUUUCUUUUAAAUAUUUUUUUCCUUUCUGCCUUAAUUUCAUUGUUUACAGUCAGGCAGGGGCAAUUUGUUUGAUUUUCAUUCAAUUGUGUGGUUUUGGGAAAUCUUUUUGGUAUUGAUACCUAUUUUUAUUCCAAGAGUAUGGUUGAUAAGAGUUUGGUUUUUUUGAAUUUAUCAAAACUGCUUUAUGGCCGAGCAUGUGGUUAAUAUUAGAGCAUGUUCUGUGUGCAGAUGAUAGCAAUGUAUUUUCUGUGGUUGAUGGGUGAAGUAUUUUGUAGGUAUCUCUUAUGUCCUAUUGGUUAAGUGUCUAAAUCAAGUCCUGAGUUUUUUUGUUGGGUUCUGCCUCGAUGAUCUGCAUUAUGUUGUCAGUACGGUGUUGAAGUUCCCCGUCCCAUUAUUGUGUGACUAUUUCUUUUUGUAUGUGUAAAAGUAGUUGUUUUAUGAAUCUGGGUGAUCCAAUGCUGGGUGCAUAUAUAUUUAGGAUAGUUAAGUUUCCUGGUUGAAUUGAACUUUUUAUCAUUAUGUAAUACCCUUUGUCUUUUUUUGACUGUUGUUGGUUUAAAGUCUGUUUUAUCUGGUAUAAGAAUAGUGACUCCUGCUCUUUUUUGUUUUCCAUUUAUGUGAUAGAACUUUCUCCAGUCCUUUAAUUUGAGCCUAGGGGUGGGUGUUGUUACUUGUAAAAAGGGUCUCUUGAAGACAGCAGAUGGACUGAUCUUGUUCUUUUAUCCAACUUGCAACUCUGUGCCUUUUCAAUGGAGCAUUUAGACUGUUUACAUUCAAGGUUAUAAUUAAUAUGUGAGGCUUUGGUGCUAUCGUGAAGUUGUUAGCUGGUUGCUUUGUAGUUUCUAUUGUGUCAUUGGUUUAUAGUAUCUGUGGCUAUAUAUUCAAGGGUGUUUCUGUGGUAGAAGGUAUCCUCCUUUGUCUUCCCUUUUAGAACUCCCUUAAAGAUCUCUUAUGAGACAGGUCUAGUGGCAAUGAAUUCCCUUAGUGCUUGCGUGUCUGGAAGAUUUUAUUUCUCCUUGCUUAUGAAGCUUAGUUUGGUGGGAUAUUAAAUUCUUGGUUAGAAUUUCUUUUCUUUAAGAAUGCUGAAAAUAGGCCCCCAAUCUCUCCUGGCUUAUAAGGUUUUUGCUGAGAAGUCUGCUGUAGCCUGAAGGUGUUCCCUUUAUCUGGCCUUUUUCUCUAGCUGCUUUUAAGAUUUUUUCUUUAGCACUGACCUUGGAAAGUCUGGUGAGUAUAUGCCUUGGUGAUGUUCAUUUUGUAUAGUAUCUCACAGGUGUUCUCUGAAUUUCUUGAAUCUGGUUGUCUACCUCUCUAACAAGAUAACAAGAUUAGGGACACUUUUUGAAUUAUUCCUUCAAAUAUGUUUUCUGUGUUGUAUACUUUUUCUCCUCUCUCAGGAAUGCCAAUAAUUUAUAGGUUUGGUCACUUUACAUAAUCCCAUAUUUCUCAAAGAUUUUGUUUAUUUUUCUUAAUUCUUUUUUUAAUUUUUUGUCAGACUUGGUUAUUUUGAAAGACUGGUCUUCAAGCUCUGAGGUUUUUUCUUCUGCUUGGAACAGUCUAUUGAUAAAACUUUCAAAUGUGUUUUGAAAAUUUCAGUUGAGUUUUUGAAUUCCAGAAGCUCUGAUUGAUUUCCUAAGAUGUGUAUCUCUUACUUCAUUUCCUGAAUUGAUUUAGGAGUUUCUUUGUGUUGACUUUCAACACACUCUAGUGCCUGUGUUUAAGGCUGUUGAGCAAGAUGGAAGAGUGACUGUAUUUUCACUUACAUGAAAAUAGCUCUACCCAAUACGAUUUUAUUUGUUGCCUGGCAGAGGCCAUCCCAGGAAGUUUCUUCCCAGUUAAGGCCUCAUUUU